GUUGGUACACUGUAAACUUUAUCAUUUCUCUCACAGCCUUCUGAAGCAGAAGUCCAGUGUAGAGGACCACAGCGGACCAGACGCCCCCCUAACAGCCCUCAUACAGGACUGCAGCAGGACUUCAAACAUCUGGUCAGGAUGAAGAGGAAUCCACAGGAAGAAAUUGAGGAAAUGGAAGAAGAAGAAGAAGAUAACUAUGUUAAUGCUCCAGCCUGGACUGUGGAUGAAGUGGCAGCCCCCCCAGACCAGAGGUCUCUCUUCUUCUCUCGGUCUUCUCUCCACUGAGCAGUGUGUUGGCUGAUACUGUUAGUC